rnacentral:rRNA from 1 species
GACGAACGCUGGCGGCGUGCUUAACACAUGCCAGUCGAACGGAAAGGCCCCUUUGGGGGUACUCGAGUGGCGAACGGGUGAGUAACACGUGAGUAACCUGCCCUUGACUUCGGGAUAACUUCAGGAAACUGGGGCUAAUACCGGAUAGGAAUCCUUGCUGCAUGGGGGGGGUUGGAAAGCUUCGGCGGUUUUGGAUGGACUCGCGGCUUAUCAGCUUGUUGGUGGGGUAGUGGCUUACCAAGGCUUUGACGGGUAGCCGGCCUGAGAGGGCGACCGGCCACAUUGGGACUGAGAUACGGCCCAGACUCCGACGGGAGGCAGCAGUGGGGAAUAUUGCACAAUGGGCGGAAGCCUGAUGCAGCAACGCCGCGUGCGGGAUGACGGCCUUCGGGUUGUAAACCGCUUUCAGCAGGGGCGAAGCUUGUGGUGACGGUACCUGCAGAAGAAGCACCGGCUAACUACGUG